rnacentral:rRNA from 1 species
UACGUAGGGAGCGAGCGUUGUCCGGAUUCAUUGGGCGUAAAGAGCUCGUAGGCGGCUUGGUAAGUCGGAUGUGAAACCUCCAGGCUCAACCUGGAGUCGCCAUCCGAUACUGCCAUGGCUAGAGUCCGGUAGGGGCCCACGGAAUUCCUGGUGUAGCGGUGAAAUGCGCAGAUAUCAGGAGGACCACCGAUGGCGAAGGCAGUGGGCUGGGCCGGCACUGACGCUGAGGAGCGAAAGCGUGGGGAGCGAACAGG